CCUACGGGAGGCAGCAGUGAGGAAUAUUGGUCAAUGGGCGAGAGCCUGAACCAGCCAAGUAGCGUGCAGGAUGACGGCCCUAUGGGUUGUAAACUGCUUUUAUAUAGGGAUAAAGUGAGGGACGUGUCCCUUAUUGUAGGUACUAUAUGAAUAAGGACCGGCUAAUUCCGUGCCAGCAGCCGCGGUAAU
rnacentral:rRNA from 1 species